AAUCAACGCUGGCGGCGUGCCUCAGACAUGCAAGUCGAACGAUUAAAGCUCUCUUCGGAGAGUGUAUAGAGUGGCGCACGGGUGAGUAAUACGUAAGUAAUCUACCCUCGAGUGGGGAAUAACAACCGGAAACGGUUGCUAAUACCGCAUAAUGCAGCGGCACCGCAAGGUGACAGUUGUUAAAGAUUUAUCGCUUGAGGAGGAGCUUGCGGCAGAUUAGCUAGUUGGUAGGGUAACGGCUUACCAAGGCUACGAUCUGUAACCGGUCUAAGAGGACGGUCGGUCACACUGACACUGAAUAGCGGGUCAGACUCCUACGGGAGGCAGCAGUCGGGAAUUUUGGGCAAUGGGCGAAAGCCUGACCCAGCAACGCCGCGUGAAGGAUGAAGUAUUUCGGUAUGUAAACUUCGAAAGAAUAGGAAGAAUUAAUGACGGUACUAUUUAUAAGGUCCGGCUAACUACGUG
rnacentral:rRNA from 1 species